rnacentral:rRNA from 1 species
UACGAAGGGUGCAAACGUUGCUCGGAAUUAUUGGGCGUAAAGCGCACGUAGGCGGCUUAGCAAGUUGGAUGUGAAAUCCCUCGGCUCAACCAAGGAAGUGCAUCCAAAACUGCUGAGCUUGAGUACUAAAGAGGAUCGCGGAAUUCCCGGUGUAGAGGUGAAAUUCGUAGAUAUCGGGGAGGAACACCAGUGGCGAAGGCGGCGAUCUGGGUAGAUACUGACGCUGAGGUGCGAAAGCGUGGGGAGCAACAGGG